UUCCCCUAGUAACUGCGAGUGAAGCGGGAAGAGCUCAAAUUUAAAUCUGGCGGUCUUCUGGCCGUCCGAGUUGUAAUCUGGAGAAGUGUUUUCCGCGUCGGACCGUGUACAAGUCUCCUGGAACGGAGCGUCAUAGAGGGUGAGAAUCCCGUCCAUGACACGGACCACCGAUGCUUUGUGAUACGCUCUCGAAGAGUCGAGUUGUUUGGGAAUGCAGCUCAAAAUGGGUGGUAAAUUCCAUCUAAAGCUAAAUAUUGGCGAGAGACCGAUAGCGAACAAGUACCGUGAGGGAAAGAUGAAAAGCACUUUGGAAAGAGAGUUAAACAGUACGUGAAAUUGUUGAAAGGGAAACGCUUGAAGUCAGUCGCGUCUCACGGAACUCAGCCUUACUUCGGUCUGGUGUACUUUCUGUGUGGACGGGUCAACGUCAAUUUUGGUCGGCGGAGAAAGGUUGAGGGAAUGUGGCGUUGUUUCGGCGACGUGUUAUAGCCCUCUUCCGCAUACGUCGGCUGGGAUUGAGGACCGCAGCGCGCCUUUAAUGGCCGGGGGUUCGCCCUACGUACCGCGCUUAGGAUGUUGGCAUAAUGGCUUUAAGCGACCCGUCUUGAAACACGGACCAAGGAGUCUAACAUGCUUGCGAGUGUUCGGGUGGAAAACCCUUGCGCGUAAUGAAAGUGAAAGUUGGGAGCCUCCGCAAGGGGGUGCACCGACGCCCGGCCCUGAAGUUCUCUGACGGUGCUGCGGUAGAGCACGUAUGUUGGGACCCGAAAGAUGGUGAACUAUGCCUGAAUAGGGCGAAGCCAGAGGAAACUCUGGUGGAGGCUCGUAGCGAUUCUGACGUGCAAAUCGAUCGUCAAAUUUGGGUAUAGGGGCGAAAGACUAAUCGAACCAGC
rnacentral:rRNA from 1 species